rnacentral:lncRNA from 1 species
CAGGAAACCACGAAGAUGGGACAUUCUGGUGACAGUUCAGAAUCUCGGCCACCUGCUGUGCCUAACUGAUGUGUCAGAAGGGAACCAUGUUUCUUCCCAGGGUCUCCAGGUUGAAGCUACAUGCUGCACAGCAAGUAUAUGACUGUGGAGCACAUUCUCAGUGCAGCAACUUCACGACAGCACACCUAUCAAGCCAUCUGGAUUCCUCC